rnacentral:rRNA from 1 species
GACGAACGCUGGCGGCGUGCUUAACACGUGCAAGUCGAACGCGCCUGUCCUCUGGGUUUCUGGGGGGUGGGUGAGUGGCGAACGGGUGAGUAACACGUGAGUAACCUGCCCCCUUCUUCGGGAUAACGGUCUGAAAGGGCUGCUAAUACCGGGUAUUCACUGGUCUCCGCAUGGGGUCUGGUGGAAAGGUUUUUUUCUGGUGGGGGAUGGGCUCGCGGCCUAUCAGCUUGUUGGUGGGGUGAUGGCCCACCAAGGCUUUGACGGGUAGCCGGCCUGAGAGGGGGACCGGUCACAUUGGGACUGAGAUACGGCCCAGACUCCUACGGGAGGCAGCAGUGGGGAAUAUUGCACAAUGGGCGCAAGCCUGAUGCAGCGACGCCGCGUGAGGGAUGGAGGCCUUCGGGUUGUGAACCUCUUUCGCCCGUGGUCAAGCCGCGACGUGGGUCGUGGUGAGGGUAGUGGGUAAAGAAGCGCCGGCUAACUACGUG